AGAGUUUGAUCCUGGCUCAGAACGAACGCUGGCGGCGUGCCUAACACAUGCAAGUCGAACGGACUUAUUAGGAAGUAGCAAUACGGAAUAAUAAGUUAGUGGCGGACGGGUGAGUAACACGUAGGUAACCAACCCUCAAGCGGGGGACAACCCAGGGAAACUUGGGCUAAUACCGCAUAAGACCACGGCCUGGAAUGGCUGAGGUAAAAGGAGCAAUUCACUUGAGGAUGGGCCUGCGGCCUAUCAGGUAGUUGGCGGGGUAAAGGCCCACCAAGCCUAAGACGGGUAGCCGGACUGAGAGGUUGAACGGCCACACUGGAACUGAGACACGGUCCAGACUCCUACGGGAGGCAGCAGUGGGGAAUUUUGCGCAAUGGGCGAAAGCCUGACGCAGCAACGCCGCGUGAGUGAUGAAGGCUUUCGGGUCGUAAAGCUCUGUCGAGGGGAAAGAAAUGCAUUGAGGUUAAUACCUUCUUUGCUUGACGGUACUCCUAAAGGAAGCACCGGCUAACUCCGUGCCAGCAGCCGCGGUAAUACGGGGGGUGCAAGCGUUGUUCGGAAUUAUUGGGCGUAGAGCGCGUGUAGGCGGUCUGAUUAGUCUGAUGUGAAAGCCCUGGGCUCAACCCAGGAAGUGCAUUGGAUACUGUCAGACUUGAAUACGGGAGAGGGUAGUGGAAUUCCUAGUGUAGGAGUGAAAUCCGUAGAUAUUAGGAGGAACACCGGUGGCGAAGGCGGCUACCUGGACCGAUAUUGACGCUGAGACGCGAAAGCGUGGGUAGCAAACAGGAUUAGAUACCCUGGUAGUCU
rnacentral:rRNA from 1 species